AAAAUGGACUACAACAAAAUUGAGAGGCUUCAUGAAGAUCAGUUCCAGGGCUUGGUAAAUUUGUCCGAACUAUAUCUCUCGGAGAACAAAAUUGAGGCUUUGCCAGAUAAAAUUUUCGAGAGCGUCAAAAACCUCAAUGCUCUCGAUAUCUUCGGCAAUGAAAUACAAAACGUUUCCAUCACGACUUUCAGCUAUACUCAUAAAUUGCGAUUUUUGUAAGUUCACGGCAAAUU